rnacentral:rRNA from 1 species
UACGUUGGUGGCGAGCGUUGUCCGGAUUUACUGGGCGUAAAGGGAGCGUAGGCGGACUUUUAAGUGAGAUGUGAAAUACUCGGGCUCAACUUGAGUGCUGCAUUUCAAACUGGAAGUCUAGAGUGCAGGAGAGGAGAAUGGAAUUCCUAGUGUAGCGGUGAAAUGCGUAGAGAUUAGGAAGAACACCAGUGGCGAAGGCGAUUCUCUGGACUGUAACUGACGCUGAGGCUCGAAAGCGUGGGGAGCAAACAGG